UACAGAGGUCCCAAGCGUUGUUCGGAUUCACUGGGCGUAAAGGGUGCGUAGGCGGUCAGGUAAGUCUGAUGUGAAAUCUCUGGGCUUAACCCAGAAAUGGCAUUGGAUACUAUUUGGCUUGAGAGUUGGAGGGGGGACUGGAAUUCUUGGUGUAGCAGUGAAAUGCGUAGAUAUCAAGAGGAACACCAGUGGCGAAGGCGAGUCCCUGGACAACUUCUGACGCUGAGGCACGAAAGCUAGGGGAGCAUACAGG
rnacentral:rRNA from 1 species